rnacentral:rRNA from 1 species
GUGCCAGCAGCCGCGGUAAUACGUAGGCAGCAAGCGUUGUUCGGAGUUACUGGGCGUAAAGAGUAUGUAGGCGGUUGCGUAAGUUCGGUGUGAAAUCUCCCGGCUUAACUGGGAGGGUGCGCCGAAAACUGCGUGGCUUGAGUGCGGGAGAGGAGAGCGGAAUUCCUGGUGUAGCGGUGAAAUGCGUAGAUAUCAGGAGGAACACCGGCGGUGUAGACGGCUCUCUGGACCGUAACUGACGCUGAGAUACGAAAGCGUGGGUAGCAAACAGGAUUAGAUACCCUUGUAGUCC